AACGAACGCUGGCGGCAUGCCUAACACAUGCAGGUCGAACGAGACCUUCGGGUCUAGUGGCGCACGGGUGCGUAACGCGUGGGAACCUGCCCUUAGGUUCGGAAUAACUCCCCGAAAGGGGUGCUAAUACCGGAUAAUGUCUUCGGACCAAAGAUUUAUCGCCUUUGGGUGGGCCCGCGUUGGAUUAGCUAGUUGGUAGGGUAAAAGCCUACCAAGGCGACGAUCCAUAGCUGGUCUGAGAGGAUGAUCAGCCACACUGGGACUGGGACACGGCCCAGACUCCUACGGGAGGCAGCAGUGGGGAAUAUUGGACAAUGGGCGAAAGCCUGAUCCAGCAAUGCCGCGUGAGUGAUGAAGGCCUUAGGGUUGUAAAGCUCUUUUACCCGGGAUGAUAAUGACAGUACCGGGAGAAUAAGCUCCGGCUAACUCCGU
rnacentral:rRNA from 1 species